rnacentral:rRNA from 1 species
CAGCCGCCGCGGGAAUACGGAGGGGGCUAGCGUUGUUCGGAAUUACUGGGCGUAAAGCGUACGUAGGCGGUUUUGUAAGUUAGAGGUGAAAGCCCGGAGCUCAACUCCGGAAUUGCCUUUAAGACUGCAUCACUUGAAUCGUGGAGAGGUGAGUGGAAUUCCGAGUGUAGAGGUGAAAUUCGUAGAUAUUGGGAAGAACACCAGUGGCGAAGGCGGCUCACUGGACCGACACUGACGCUGAGGCGCGAAAGCGUGGGGAGCAAACAGGAUUAGAUACCCCCGUAGUCCCUGUCUCUUAUAC